GUCCCGCAACGAGCGCAACCCUUGUCGUUAGUUACUACCAUUAAGUUGAGGACUCUAGCGAGACUGCCUGGGUUAACCAGGAGGAAGGUGGGGAUGACGUCAAAUCAUCAUGCCCCUUAUGUGUAGGGCUACACACGUGCUACAAUGGCUUGUACAGAGAGAUGCAAUACCGCGAGGUGGAGCCAAACUUAAAAACCAGUCUCAGUUCGGAUUGUAGGCUGAAACUCGCCUACAUGAAGCUGGAGUUACUAGUAAUCGCGAAUCAGAAUGUCGCGGUGAAUACGUUCCCGGGUCUUGUACACACCGCCCGUCACACCAUGAGAGUUGGCAAUACCCGAAGUCCGUGAGCUAACCGCAAGGAGGCAGCGGCCGAAGGUAGGGUCAGCGAUUGGGGUGAAGUCGUAACAAGGUAGCCGUAGGAGAACCUGCGGCUGGAUCACCUCCUUUCUAAGGAA
rnacentral:rRNA from 1 species